rnacentral:lncRNA from 1 species
UUCUUUUUAGCUCUGAUAUUCUUCUUUGAAUCUGAUUUUUUUGACUGUUGUUUGCCUUUGUGCUUUUUAAUGAAGUGUUUUUCUCUUUAUUAUUCUUUUUAUUUUUUUUAUGCCUUUUUGAUUAUGCCAAAAAGGGGGAGAAAUUAUUAAAUAGCUCUGAUGAAAAUUAUGUCUAAAACCUUAAGCAUUCUGCAACAAUUAUAAAAAUAGUUCUGAUAUAAAUAGCUCUGAUUAAAUAAUAGCUCUGAUUAAAUAACUCUAACAUUAAAAUUAAGAAAUUGCAGAAAGUUUU